rnacentral:rRNA from 1 species
CGGCGAGUGAAGCGGCAACAGCUCAAAUUUGAAAUCUGGCGUAAGCCCGAGUUGUAAUUUGUAGAGGAUGCUUCUGGGUAGCGGCCGGUCUAAGUUCCUUGGAACAGGACGUCAUAGAGGGUGAGAAUCCCGUAUGUGACUGGCUUGCACCCUCCACGUAGCUCCUUCGACGAGUCGAGUUGUUUGGGAAUGCAGCUCUAAAUGGGAGGUAAAUUUCUUCUAAAGCUAAAUACCGGCCAGAGACCGAUAGCGCACAAGUAGAGUGAUCGAAAGAUGAAAAGCACUUUGGAAAGAGAGUUAAAAAGCACGUGAAAUUGUUGAAAGGGAAGCGCCCGCAACCAGACUUUGCGGCGGUGUUCGGCUGGUCUUCUGACCGGUUUACUCGCCGCCGUGAGGCCAUCAUCGUCUGGGACCGCUGGAUAAGACCUGAGGAAUGUAGCUCCCUUCGGGGUGUGUUAUAGCCUCUGGUGAUGCAGCGCGUCUCGGGCGAGGUCCGCGCUUCGGCAAGGAUGAUGGCGUAAUGGUUGUCGGCGGCCCGUCUUGAAACACGGACCAAGGAGUCUAACAUCUAUGCGAGUGUUCGGGUGUCAAACCCCUACGCGUAAUGAAAGUGAACGGAGGUGGGAACUUUUUGUGCACCAUCGACCGAUCCUGAUGUCCUCGGAUGGAUUUGAGUAAGAGCAUAGCUGUUGGGACCCGAAAGAUGGUGAACUAUGCCUGAAUAGGGUGAAGCCAGAGGAAACUCUGGUGGAGGCUCGCAGCGGUUCUGACGUGCAAAUCGAUCGUCAAAUUUGGGUAUAGGGGCGAAAGACUAAUCGAACCAUCUAGUAGCUGGU